CCAGAGUCCUGAAGCCAAGCCAAGGCCAAAAUUCUCCUGUUCCAGGCCAGUUGAACCGCCAGGGGAGCUGGUACAGAAAAACCCCAGAGGAGAGAGUGAGGCGCACAGAAAACCUGAAGAAGCAGCACUCUCUGGGGUAACUGGUGACUCGACAUCCAUUGACCUUUGAACUUGAAUUUUUAGUCUUUUAAUACAAACCUUUCACCACUGAAACUCCAGUCAGCGCUGCUAAUAUUAUGAUUGUCUUUAAGCUACCUUCUGAAAUUCAAAUGAUUGUAUUUACUACCACACAGCUCAUUGAUUUACACCAUCAUAAUGCCAUUGUUUUUUAAUGUUGUAUCUUUUAGUUGCAACAACUGAUACAGAAAAGUCAUAUGUAGCUUGAUACUUUGUGUGGAGGGUCAGAGUUAAAGAGAAACGAAAUAGGUCAAAAUAUUUUAUCGGUGCCUAAGAACUACGUACGAAAGCCCAGAAGGCAUGUGAUAAAAAAAAUACUGUGGAUCAGUGUUCUAAGUCUAACCUGAAUUGUUUUCUCUCCUGUGUUUCUGAUUGAUGAACACAAU